GUCCCUAUCCCUAACCCUCUGAUUUUAAAGGAAGGGACUAAUGCUGAGCGGUAAGUAGCCGGUGGGAAAUGCCAUAGCCCUUUCACUUUCACGAAUUACGAAUCACAACAUUCAUAAAUUCUCUACGAGUCACAACUCCAAUGUCUCAGCCUUCGCAAGAUUUGAUUGACGAUGAAACAGAAAGUUGUUGAGUGAAAUUAGGUUAAUUGUUUGAUUGAGCAAAGAGAAUAAACAGAGAGAUGCGAAACGCGGACAACAACGCUCAAGAUACGAUAACCGCUGCUGCGACUGCGAUCACAUCAGCUGAGAAUCGUGUGCCUCAAGCUUCGAUUUAGUUGCCUUUGCCUAUUUAAUAUGCUGUGAAUGAUUUGCAAGAGGAAUGGAUUUCAGUUAGAGUGACAAAGAUGGGCUCAACGGUUUCUUUGUCAAGAACUACCUAGACUUUUGCAGCUAACUUGCUAUUAUGUUAAUUUUUGUGUGUUUGGCACUUUUGUAAAGAGUAUCAUUAGUUAUUACUAUGUUGUUGCCAUUGUUCAGAUGGAUUAGAUGUUUGCUAUGUAAUAUGUUAUUAUUAUGAUGCCUUGACACUUCCCCGAAAACAUAUAAAUUGAUAAUGAAGUUCUCUUUCAACAUUUGUCCAUCUCGAGUAUUGCUGAAAGGACUACAGAGGAACCAAAUUGUGAACGUGCCAAACCACAGAUUUGCUUGAAGCAGGUAUUAUUGAGUAACCACCAAUAUUAGCCUAAACCAGUUUUGAUCUCUCAAGAAUACAAAGCCCUGUUAUUCACUUGUUGGAGAAUAUGAUUGCAUUACACCCAACCCCAUCAUUGCCAAUCAUUUUUUUUUUCCCUUGUAUGAAAAUUCUCAUGGUAAAAGGCUUGACAGUGGAACAUUAUUUCUAGCGUAAAAGUUUCUAUUAUAUUGAAUUUGAUCUUAUUUCAAAAUUUCAACAAAUUAGGCUUUCUUUUAUUUUUAAUUUGAAUAAUUCUUAAUGAAACAUUGUAUGUUUAUCUCAGUGAAUUUUGUAAAUAAACACUCUGAAUUUUGAUCCAAAAGGCCAAUGAAAAUACAAGACAUCUCAUAUUUCAAAGCUUGUGGAUUAAUGAAGAAACCAGUCUUAGAUUAUUUGACUCGAGGAAAAGAGAGGCCCUAGCUUGUAGAAUGAAGUUACUUCUUGGAGUUUCAUUUGUGUGUUUCAUGUCAUUCUCGACAUCACCUUGUUACUAUGCACUUGUUCAUGUUUCCAUAUAAUACUGAGCAAAACAAAAAAGAAAAUAUUGAUGACUUUGCCCACGGAAACAUACCAUUAUAAUAUGUUUUCAUGUGAGUUUGUCAUGUUACUUGCAGAUGUGUUCCUUUUUUAAUAUUUAUGCAAAAUGAUUUAGGAAAAGGAUCCUUGGAACCAGACUCUCACCCUCUUUUUUUUUUGCUACAAAAAGAAUUUGUUUAUUUUUUGUUUGCUCCUUUUGAACAUUUUUUUUAAAGAUGGAUAAAAAAUCACGUCCCUUCAUUUGAAAUCUGUAAGGGGGAGUUUGACACUAAUAUUAAAGAGCAAUGAACUGAGGCUUACCUGUUUUUUAACAGACUCUCAAUUGAGAUGAGAAGAGCUUUAAAUGAAGAAAUGAGCCAUAUAUGUCAAAGGUCUAUCUUCUUGUCCAUCACAAAACUUUUUGUUUGUUUAUGACUAUAUGAAAGAAAUUAAAUUCUAAAUUUUGUUUGUUUAUGACUAUAAGUAUGAAAGAAAUUAAAUUGUAUCUUCUUGUCCAGUAGAUACAAUGGUCCUCCUGAUUGUCACCUUAAAACUGUUAAAACUGAAUGGGUAAGAAAAUCUAUAUUUCUAUCAAAUUAGGCAUCUGAUGUGAUUUGGAGCUGACAAACUACCUUGCUAUCAAAUUGGGCAUGAGUUCUUAGGCAUUAUUAGCGAACAUUUGAUCUUUGUACUUAAAAUGCAUUAGUUAUUGUGUGUUUGACACUUUUGUAAAGAUUAUCAUCAGUUAUUACUAUGUUGUUGUCAUUGUUCAGAUGGGUUAGAUAUUUGCCAUAUAAUCUGGUGAUGACGAUGAUAAUAAUAUAUAUAUAUAUAUAUAUAUUUUGGGAUCAAGGUGGUGAUGAUGAUGUUCACCUAUGGCAUCCUCAGCCUUCGUAUGUUUGGGGGAAAUCAAGUGAUUACUUCCUACGUCUUAGAUCUCAUAGAGUAACCAUGUUGUAACAAUCAAAUGGCUCCUUGAUUGUUUGACAUAACAAAAGUUCUGAUUUGAGUUUUGUUGGUGAUCUUUCAGCAUUUGGUAUCAUAUGGAACUCCACUUUCAGUCCAAGCUCUCUAUCCUCAUGGAGGUCUUUAUGGUCCUUCUAACAUGACUUUGGGUGCAGCUGUCGAAAAUAUAAAUACAGAGACAAAAGGAAAGGCAAAAUGAAAUUCAAGGAACAUAGUUUUGGCAGAAAAGGGAAAAGCCAUUUCAGGCUCUGAAAAUGAUGAUGCCUCACAAAGGUGUGUUAGUGCUCCAUAAAAUAUUCAGAGAUUUUGAAACACUCUUUUUUUAAAACAACAAAUAACUAUAUAAUCUAGUCAUAAUGAUGAUGAUGAUGAUGAUAAAUUAUUGUUAUUAUUUUUUUCCAUAUUUAAUAUUAUAGUGUUAAACUUAAUAUUUAUGUAUAUUUUUGCAAGUAGUGUUGGAGUAAUUGAUUGAUCCGCGGGUGAUAUUGAGAGCUAAAUUGAGAUUUUUAUUUAUUUUUUAUUUUUAUUUUUGAGUACUUGAAGUUUGUAUAACUACUUGUAAGGAUGGUUGAUGGAUAUUUGU